UACGUAGGGAGCAAGCGUUGUCCGGAAUCAUUGGGCGUAAAGCGCGCGUAGGUGGCUUCGUAAGUCCGUUGUGAAAGUCAAAGGCUCAACCUUUGAAAGCCGAUGGAUACUGUGGAGCUAGAGUACGGAAGAGGCGAGUGGAAUUCCUGGUGUAGCGGUGGAAUGCGCAGAUAUCAGGAGGAACACCAAGUAGCGAAGGCAGCUCGCUGGGACGUUACUGACACUGGAGGCGCGAAAGCGUGGGGAGCGAACAGG
rnacentral:rRNA from 1 species